CUUUCUUUUAAUUGAACCAAAUUACUACUGCCUGUCUCACUGUCCCUAGCCGAGCUAGCUGGUCAAUCACCAGAAUGGUUGCGAGUUGACAAGAGAAGAUUCCUGCUUGUUUCCAGGCAUUAAACGUUGCUACCUUAUAACUGAAACAAAAACAUCGAUGGGAGGUCAAAGCUCAAAGAUUGUAACAUGUUGUUGGAAUUCAUCUCACAAGACUGCUGCUCUUGGAGCUCCAUAUGUUGAAAAGGAAGAGAUUGAUAGUGACCUGACAGAUGUGCCCUCUUUUCGUGAAUACACACUAGAACAGCUUAAGAUCGCCACCUCUCACUUCGCUUUGGAAAAUGUUGUAUCUGAACAUGCAGAAACAGCCCCAAAUGUUGUCUAUCAAGGGAAACUGAAGACUCAUAAGAAGAUUGCUAUCAAGCGCUUUUCUGGAACUGCCUGGCCUGAUCCACGCCAAUUCCUGGAACAAGCAAUAUCGAUUGGUCAGCUACGCAGCAAAAGAAUGGCCAAUUUACUCGGCUAUUGUUGUGAAGGCGGCGAGAGGUUACUUGUGGCUGAGUUCAUGCCUAAUGGAACACUAGCCAAACACCUUUUCCACUGGGAAAGACAGCCAAUGAAAUGGACGAUGCGACUAAGGGUUGUCUUAUACAUUUCAGAAGCUCUUGAAUACUGUAGUAACAAAGGACACGCGCUGUAUCAUGAUUUCAAUGCUUACAGAGUUUUAUUUGACGAGGAAUGCAAUCCAAGACUUUCAACAUUUGGGUUAAUGAAGAAUAGUCGGGAUGGGAAAAGUUAUACCACAAAUCUUGCUUUCACCCCUCCUGAGUAUCUACGAACUGGGAGAAUCACAGCAGAGAGUGUAAUUUACAGCUUUGGCACUCUUCUGCUUGAUCUUCUCACCGGAAAGCAUAUUCCUCCUAGACAUGCCCUGGAUUUGAUUCGAGACAGAAACCUUCAGACUCUAACUGAUUCCUGCUUGGAGGGAAAAUUUUCCGACAGUGAUGGCAUAAAUUUAGUACGCCUGGCAUCUCUCUGUCUGCAGCAUGAAGCUCGUGAGCGGCCAAACAUAAAAUCAUUGGUCACUGCGCUGAUAUCUCUCCAGAAAGACACAGAGGUUCCUUCUUAUGUUCUAAUGGGUCUGCCUCAGAGUGGUACUUUUGCGUUACCUCCGUCUCCUUUUGCUGAGGCUUGUUCAAGACAAAAUCUGACUGCUAUGCACGAGAUCUUGGAUAAAAUUGGAUACAAAGACGAUGAAGAUCUUUCGUUUCUGUGGACGGAGCAAAUGCAAGAGGCUAUAAACUCGAAGAAAAAAGGCGACAUUGCAUUUAGAAGGAAAGAAUUUAGUGAAGCCAUUGAGUUUUACACGCAGUUUCUUGAUUUGGGAAUGAGGUCUGCAACAGUCUUUGUGCGGCGCAGUUUAAGUUACCUGAUGAGUAAAAUGGCGAAAGAAGCUUUAGAUGAUGCAAUGAAGGCUCAAGGCAUUUCUCCUGUGUGGUAUGUUGCAUUGUAUCUGCAGUCUGCUGCUCUUGCUAUCCUGGGGAUGGAGAAGGAAUCACAAAUCGCACUUACUGAAGGAUCCAACCUUGAAGCCAAAAUGAUUACAGCUUCCACACAGAAUUAAAGACUGGGUUUUUUAAAAGAUGAAGCUUUGAUUCCAUAAAGGAAAAACAAUUGAAAGACUUCGGGGUGUGCGGACACCAAGUGAAUAUAAUACAAACUCCAUUAACAGAUGAAGAAAGCAAAACAAAGCUUAUAAUGUGUUUUGCAAC